rnacentral:ncRNA from 1 species
NNUUCGGAUUGACUCUAAGAGUCAGGCACAUUAGGCCUUGGGGGAAAGUCUCUGGAGCAGGAGGGCACUAGCCAGGCAACUAGCAGAUGUCUUCCAGCAUCAGGAUGUGAAUGCCCUUGGCAGGCUUCAGCUGUCUGGCAUGUGAUUAACAACCAACUUAGAACUGGUAUGGACAAGGGGAAUCUGACUGUCUAAUUAAAACAUAGCAUUGUGAUGGCCAGAAAGUGAUAUUAACACAAUGUGAUUUCUGCUCAGUGCUCUGAAUGUUAAAGUGAAGAAAUUCAAUCAAGUGUGGGUAAACAGCAAAAGUAACUAUGACUCUCUUAAGGUAGUCAAAUGCCUCAUCAUCUAAUUAGUGAUGCACAUGAAUGGAUUAAUGAGAUUCCCACUG